AUUGAACGCUGGCGGUAGGCCUAACACAUGCAAGUCGAACGCGAAAGUCCUUCGGGAUGAGUAGAGUGGCGGACGGGUGGAGUAACGCGUAGGAAUCUAUCCUGUAGUGGGGGAGUAACGUUUCGAAAGGAACGCUAAUACCGCAUACGCCCCAACGGGGGAAAGGACGGGGGAGUCUUCGGACCUCGUGCUAUAGGAGGAGCCUGCGUCGGGUUAGCUAGUUGGUGAGGUAAAGGCUCACCAAGGCGACGAUCCGUAGCUGGUCUGAGAGGAUGAUCAGCCACACCGGAACUGAGACACGGUCCGGACUCCUACGGGAGGCAGCAGUGGGGGAAUAUUGCGCAAUGGGCGAAAGCCUGACGCAGCCAUACCGCGUGUGUGAAGAAGG
rnacentral:rRNA from 1 species